GCUACGGGUGGCAGCAGUGAGGAAUAUUGGUCAAUGGACGCAAGUCUGAACCAGCCAUGCCGCGUGCAGGAAGACGGCUCUAUGUGUUGUAAACUGCUUUUGUACGAGGGUAAACGCAGAUACGCGUACCUGUCUGAAAGUAUUGUACGAAUAAGGAUCGGCUAACUCCGUGCCAGCAGCCGCGGUAAUACGGAGGAUACAAGCGUUAUCCGGAUUUAUUGGGUUUAAAGGGAGCGUAGACGGUUGGUUAAGUUAGUGGUGAAAGUCCGAGGCUCAACUUCGGAAUUGCCAUUGAUACUGGUCGGCUUGAGAGUAGUUGCGGUAGGCGGAAUGUAUGGUGUAGCGGUGAAAUGCUUAGAGAUCAUACAGAACACCGAUUGCGAAGGCAGCUUACCAAGCUACUUCUGACGUUGAGGCACGAAAGCGUGGGGAGCAAACAGGAUUAGAUACCCUAGUAGUC
rnacentral:rRNA from 1 species